GGAGAAAUGGCUGAGUGGUUAAAAGCGGCAGACUGUAAAUUUGUUGAAAUAAUUUCUACA
rnacentral:tRNA from 1 species